rnacentral:misc_RNA from 1 species
GAUCAUUAGCGCGCAGGCCGGAGGCUGGCCCCCCACGAUAGGGCCAAACGUCCGUCAGGGGUGAGCAGAUGUGCGCCGGCCGUACCGCCCCAUUCUUGUCUACAUUACUCGGUUGCCUCGGCGGGCCGCGCUCUCCCAGGAGAGCCGUUCGGCGAGCCUCUCUUUAGUGGCUAAACGCUGGACCGCGCCCGCCGGAGGACAGACGCAAAAAAAUUCUUUCAGAAGAGCUGUCAGUCUGAGCGUUAGCAAGCAAAAAUCAGUUAAAACUUUCAACAACGGAUCUCUUGGUUCCGGCAUCGAUGAAGAACGCAGCGAAAUGCGAUAAGUAAUGUGAAUUGCAGAAUUCCGUGAAUCAUCGAAUCUUUGAACGCACAUUGCGCCCCCUGGCAUUCCGGGGGGCAUGCCUGUUCGAGCGUCAUUUCAGCCCCUCAAGCCCGGCUUGUGUGAUGGACGACCGUCCGGCGCCCCCGUCUUUGGGGGUGCGGGACGCGCCCGAAAAGCAGUGGCCAGGCCGCGAUUCCGGCUUCCUAGGCGAAUGGGCAACAAACCAGCGCCUCCAGGACCGGCCGCCCUGGCCUCAAAAUCUGUUUUAUACUUAUCAGGUUGACCUCGGAUCAGGUAGG